rnacentral:lncRNA from 10 species
UCCACAUCCCCCUGCCUUUUCCGAGAAAAGGACAGUUAGUGCCUGGACCAGGACCAUCACACUGGGGACCGGCUUCUCUGCUCUCCCGUUAUGGGGGUCGGGGGAAUGAUGGGUCAAGGGUCUUCCGAAGAAAGCGAGAAAGGAACAGGCGCCUUCAAAAGCCCACUUGGCGAUGGGUUACAGUAAGAGUUUCAGAGUGCUGGCCACACCAAAGCAUCAGCCCUGGCUCUAAACUCCGUUACAGUAAGGAAUUACAAAUCCUGUGUUUGUACUCCAGGAAGUCUGCAUUAUCACGAGGAGCUUGGAAAGGAGGUAACACACUCAAGGCAAAUUUCAAGUAACUCAUCCUGGAGGCAGCUGCCUACUCUGCAGCUGUGGUUCUCCACCACAGAGAGAAGAAAAGGGAGGGAGAUGGAGUGCGCAGGUCUGAGAAGGCUUUCAUUCUGGAGCAUCUGCAGGAGCCUGCACCAUGGCCCAGUAGCACCCCUUUUUCUCCAUGAGCUGCUGGUGGGUUCCCCCCUCCCGGAUAGCGCCUCCUUCCAGAAAGAGGAUGUGGUCAGCCUGCUCCACCAGGCUGAGGUGCUGGGUGAUGAGAAGCACUGAGCGGGAGUACCGCUCAGGGCUUUCGUACAGGAGCUGCUCCACCUGAGGAAAGACAUCGGACCGUCAGAGCCGGGGACUACCCUCAGCCCAGGGAGACACCUGUGUUUCCAGGGCUGGGACUGACCUCACAGGAUCACUGCUGGCUCUGCUAACAACCCCAAGGACACCAACGUUUCCCAUUCUGAGUACUUCUCCGCAAACCCUUUGUUUCAUUAAGGACUGUUUUACAUGAAGGGUGCAAAAGUAGGAUAAAAAUGAGAACCCUAGGGUGAAACACGUGACAGAAGAAUAAAGACUAUUGAAUAGUCCUCUUCUCUACCCAUGGACUUGGCAUUUUUAUAUUCGAUUUUAAGGAAAUAUAACUUAGUAGUAAAGAGAUGAGCAUUCAAGUCAGGCAGACCUGAAUUUGGGUCAAGGCUGCGCCACUCAAAAGCUAUAUGACCUCUAUAUGAGCAGCUUAUUCAACCUCUUUUAACCUCCAUUUUGUCAUCUGUAGAAUGAUGAUAAAUGCCUAGCUCAGAAGGAUUCCUAAUGAAUAAAUGAGUGACAGUGCAUGUAAACAGACUAGCUUAAUUAAUAUUAAUAUGAUUAGGAUGGGCUGGGCCCGGUGGCUCAUGCCUAUAAUCCUAGCACUUUGGGAGGUCAAGGAGGGAGGAUCACUUGGGCCCAGGAGUUCAAGGCCAGCCUGGGCAACAUAGCGGGACGCUGUCUGUACAAAAAAUAAUUUUUUUAAAUAAACGAUAUUAUGAGGAUGGUC